CUGCUUCAACCCGGUCUACUCAUGUCGUUUCAGCCAGGUCUACCCAAUGCAGAGAGGAAAGAUCAAGCCAGCAAAGCUUCAGCCUGGUCUACCUGGUGCGAAAAGGAAAGAUCAGGCUAACCUUUGGCCCAGUCUACCCAAU